GAUGAACGCUGGCGGCGUGCCUAAUACAUGCAAGUCGAGCGAACGGACGAGAAGCUUGCUUCUCUGAUGUUAGCGGCGGACGGGUGAGUAACACGUGGAUAACCUACCUAUAAGACUGGGAUAACUUCGGGAAACCGGAGCUAAUACCGGAUGAUAUUUUGAACCGCAUGGUUCAAAAGUGAAAGACGGUCUUGCUGUCACUUAUAGAUGGAUCCGCGCUGCAUUAGCUAGUUGGCAAGGUAACGGCUUACCAAGGCAACGAUGCAUAGCCGACCUGAGAGGGUGAUCGGCCACACUGGAACUGGGACACGUUCCGGACUCCUACGGGGGGCAGAAGUAGGAAAUCUUCCGCAAUGGGCGAAAGCCUGACGGAGCAACGCGGCGUGAGUGAUGAGGGUCUUCGAUUCGUAAACCUCUGUUAUAAGGAAAGAACAUAUGUGUAAGUAACUGUGCACAUCUGGACGGUACCUAAUCAAAAAGCCACGCCAACCUACGU
rnacentral:rRNA from 1 species